rnacentral:lncRNA from 1 species
GCCAUGGAGACAGCAGCCCUUAGUGAUCAGAGGGUAAUAGGAAAUUUCCUGAAAAAGAGACAGGAUGGUGUGGAGAGGGAUGGAGGGAAACCCCACUGAGAGCUUCACAUUCCGAUGGAAUUGAUAUGAAACUCAGGGUUCUUGUGGCCUUUUCCCACGAUGUGACUAACGUUCGAGGUUCGCCCGGUAAGAAGUGAGCUCCAGGGGUUACCGCGGAGCAGCACCCUUCCCAGGAUCUCUACAAACUCACACUCAAGGGAAAUCCACUGCUCCGGCUCAGAUCAGCUUCCUGAAUUUCCAGUUCGAAUUGUGAAGAGCUCUGCUCCAACUAGGAGAUUGCCUAGUGUCAGUGAUAGGAGUUUUGUGUUCUCCAUAUUAGCAGAAUGGAUGCAAAGUAACUUCCAAGUGUGGAACAAGCAGACA